AGAGUUUGAUCCUGGCUCAGGACGAACGCUGGCGGCGUGCCUAAUACAUGCAAGUCGAGCGAGUCUGCCUUGAAGAUCGGAGUGCUUGCACUCUGUGAAACAAGAUACAGGCUAGCGGCGGACGGGUGAGUAACACGUGGGUAACCUGCCCAAGAGAUCGGGAUAACACCUGGAAACAGAUGCUAAUACCGGAUAACAACAGAUGAUGCCUAUCAACUGUUUAAAAGAUGGUUCUGCUAUCACUCUUGGAUGGACCUGCGGUGCAUUAGCUAGUUGGUAGGGUAACGGCCUACCAAGGCGAUGAUGCAUAGCCGAGUUGAGAGACUGAUCGGCCACAUUGGGACUGAGACACGGCCCAAACUCCUACGGGAGGCAGCAGUAGGGAAUCUUCCACAAUGGACGCAAGUCUGAUGGAGCAACGCCGCGUGAGUGAAGAAGGGUUUCGGCUCGUAAAGCUCUGUUGUUGGUGAAGAAGGACAGGGGUAGUAACUGACCUUUGUUUGACGGUAAUCAAUUAGAAAGUCACGGCUAACUACGUGCCAGCAGCCGCGGUAAUACGUAGGUGGCAAGCGUUGUCCGGAUUUAUUGGGCGUAAAGCGAGUGCAGGCGGCUCGAUAAGUCUGAUGUGAAAGCCUUCGGCUCAACCGGAGAAUUGCAUCAGAAACUGUCGAGCUUGAGUACAGAAGAGGAGAGUGGAACUCCAUGUGUAGCGGUGAAAUGCGUAGAUAUAUGGAAGAACACCGGUGGCGAAGGCGGCUCUCUGGUCUGUUACUGACGCUGAGGCUCGAAAGCAUGGGUAGCGAACAGGAUUAGAUACCCUGGUAGUCCAUGCCGUAAACGAUGAGUGCUAAGUGUUGGGAGGUUUCCGCCUCUCAGUGCUGCAGCUAACGCAUUAAGCACUCCGCCUGGGGAGUACGACCGCAAGGUUGAAACUCAAAGGAAUUGACGGGGGCCCGCACAAGCGGUGGAGCAUGUGGUUUAAUUCGAAGCAACGCGAAGAACCUUACCAGGUCUUGACAUCCAUAGCCAGUCUAAGAGAUUAGAUGUUCCCUUCGGGGACUAUGAGACAGGUGGUGCAUGGCUGUCGUCAGCUCGUGUCGUGAGAUGUUGGGUUAAGUCCCGCAACGAGCGCAACCCUUGUCAUUAGUUGCCAGCAUUAAGUUGGGCACUCUAAUGAGACUGCCGGUGACAAACCGGAGGAAGGUGGGGAUGACGUCAAGUCAUCAUGCCCCUUAUGACCUGGGCUACACACGUGCUACAAUGG
rnacentral:rRNA from 1 species